rnacentral:rRNA from 1 species
GACGGAGGGUGCUAGCGUUGUUCGGAAUUACUGGGCGUAAAGGGUGUGUAGGCGGUUCUUUAAGUUUGGUGUGAAAUCUCCCGGCUCAACCGGGAGGGUGCGCCGAAUACUGAGGGACUAGAGUGCGGGAGAGGAAAGUGGAAUUCCUGGUGUAGCGGUGAAAUGCGCAGAUAUCAGGAGGAACACCGAUUGCGAAGGCAGCUCGCUGGGACGUUACUGACGCUGAGACGCGAAAGCGUGGGGAGCAAACAGG